CCUACGGGAGGCAGCAGUGAGGAAUAUUGGUCAAUGGGCGGAAGCCUGAACCAGCCAAGUAGCGUGCGGGAUGAAGGCCCUACGGGUCGUAAACCGCUUUUGCACGGGGAUAACACCCUCCACUUGUGGAGGUCUGCAGGUACCGCGCGAAUAAGGGCCGGCUAAUUCCGUGCCAGCAGCCGCGGUAAUACGGAAGGCCCGAGCGUUAUCCGGAUUCAUUGGGCUUAAAGGGAGCGUAGGCGGGCGUUCAAGCCAGCGGGAAAAUCGCGCGGCUCAACCGCGCCCCGCAGUUGAAACUGGACGCCUUGAGUUCACAACAGGCAGGCGGAAGUCGUGGUGUAGCGGUGAAAUGCAUAGAUAUCACGAGGAACCCCGAUGGCGAAGGCAGCCUGCCGGGGUGCGACUGACGCUGAGGCUCGAAGGUGCGGGUAUCAAACAGGAGUAGAUACCCGUGUAGUC
rnacentral:rRNA from 1 species